AUGGUUGAAAACUUUGUUAACCAAUGUCCUGUGUGUCAGCUGAUUAAAGUGGAACACAAACAUCCUGCAAGCUUACUUCAACCCCUCCCAAUUCCUGCAGCUCCAUGGUCCCGAAUCAGCAUGGACUUCAUCGAGGCUCUUCCUAAAUCUGCUGGCAAGGAAGUUAUCCUAGUAGUCGUAUAUCGUCUCAGAAAAUAUGCUCACUUCAUAGCACUUUCUCACCCAUACUCUGUUGAAAGUGUAGUGCAAGUGUUCAUUGAAAACAUCUUCAGACUACAUGGGUUUCCAAAGGAAAUCGUCUCAGAUAGGGAUCGGAUAUUCACAAGCAAUAUAUACAAGCAACUGUUCACAGCACUCAAGAUUAAGCUCAAAUUCAGUAUUGCCCACCACCCACAAACUGGAAGAGUCAAUCAGGGUGUGGAACAUUACCUCAUUAGCAUGGUCUUCCAAGAACCUAAGCAAUGGCUCUCAUUUGCAGAAUGGUGGUACAACACUUCUUUUCACUCGGCAAUCAAACAGUCACCAUUCGAAGCGUUAUACAACUACCCACCCCCUAUGAUUGGCGAGUUUGUUCUGUCAGAUACAUUCAAUCCAGCAGUUCAGUUAACAGUUACUGAAAAGCAAAAGUUACUGCACAAGCUGAAAGAAAAUCUCCAAGUUGCUCAAGAAUGUAUGAAAAUGCAAGCUGACAAGUUAAGGAUAGAGAGACAAUUGAAGGAAGGAGCAAUGGUAUAUAUCAGAAUCCAACCUUAUCGCCAGAAUGCAUUUGGGUUAAGGGGAUCGUUGAAACUGCGAUCUAAGUAUUAUGGACCUUUUAAAGUGCUACAGAGAAUCGGUCAGGUGUCCUAUAAACUGCAGCUACCAGAUACAGCAGAAAUUCAUCCUGUGUUCCACAUCAGCCAGCUCAAAGAACAUGUUGGCAACCAUGCUGUUCCACUCCCUCAUGUUCCAUUAGUUACUGAAGAUGGCAAGAUCAAGACGACACCAUUUUCUCAGCUGGACACCAGAACUAUUAUCACUCGCAAGGAAAUUCCAGUGGAACAAUGGCUAAUCCACUGGGAAAGCAUGGGUCCCAAGGACGCUACUUGGGAAGAUGUCGGUUUCAUCGAGACGACUUUUCCAUCGUUCAAGCCUUGGCGACAAAGCUGA
rnacentral:rRNA from 1 species